CCUUCAAAAUUUAUGUUUAUUAUCUUUUUCAGUUAGUGCUGUGUUUUAUUGGUUCUUUUUGUUUUAUGAUAAAAUUAGAUCCCUCAGCUUUUUUCAUGACAUGUUAAGCUCAACACCCAAAUGCAUCUUUUGGAAUACCUAAUCAAGAAAAGCCUAUUAAAGCACAACAAGGAGUCAGUCCUCCCAUCAUCUGGAACCUCAGUGAAUCAGCAUUCAGUAAAAAAUUACUAAGUAUAUGAAGAGACAGGACCAUUUGAUUCAAAACCAAGAGAAAACACAAACAAUAGAAAGCAGAAACACAGGUGAUCCAGUCAUUGGAGUUAGCAGACAAAGACUUUAUUAUGUUUAGGAAUAUAGGAGGAAGAAAAAGAACAAAAGAGAAAUUCAGAGAAGCUGCCUAUGGAAAAGAAGAACUUGAUUUUGGCAGGAGAAUGACAGUCUUUGAAAGAAACUCAGGAUUCAAGAAUAAUACUGUCCUUCAACUUAAAAUCAACUACAUACAACAGUGCCAAAAAGGAAAGAAAAAUGACAGUUUACAAGGUGUAGGUGAUUUCCACAUGUUUAUAGAGAGCAUUGACACAGAGCUUUGACAUGCUUAUACUUUAUUUGAAAUUAAAUUCUGCUAAUUAUUGAAAUAAAUAAGGGUUUGCCUUUAUACCUUGGAGCCUUUUUUGAUUUCUCUCUUUCUUUCAUCUUCUGCCUGCCCACAUUCAAUUCCAAAGCAGAUCCUGCUGGCUUUGCCUACGCGAUAUGUCCAAAAUCUGACCACCAGCUCUAAUGCUGUUACUCUUGAUCCUGGCCCCAACUGCUAGCAUUUCUCAUCUGGCUUUUGGCUGUAGCCUCGAAGUACUGUCUCGCUUCUGCCCUUUCCGUGCCAUAGGCAGAAUUGAUCCUUUCAAAUGCGAGUCGCAUCAUGUUCCUUCUGGUCUCAAAAGGUCUCAAUAGUUUCCCAUGAAAUUUAGUGGAAAAGUCAAAUUUCUUACCGUGGUCUACAGGGAUUUACCUUGUCUCGCCACCUUCCACAGCCCACCACCGUCCACCCUUCAGGAACUGCUCUUCAUUGACUCUCAACCAAGGGGCUGUUAGGUCACCACUCAAAUACCAUUUUCUCCUUCAAGGCCUCUGACCCACUUACUUAAUACUGGAUACCAUCCCUCUUGCCAAGACUCCCUUUUACCCCUCCUUCCUUUUUUUCUAGAGAGGUGAAGUGAUCUAACAUAUUAUAUAACUUUAUUAUUUAUAUUGUCAAUCUUUCUUCCCCCAUUAGGAGGUAAGUUCUGUGAGGGUAGGGGUUUUUGUCUGUUGGCUUAUUGAUGACUUCUCAAUACCUGAAAAAAAUGCCUGAUUUAGGUUUGGUAUUCAGGAGAUAUUUGCUAUGCAAUUAUUAUGACUAUCAGCAAAAGAAAGUUUUAUGAUGAAACUGUUUAAAAUUGGAAUGUUUUGAAUUUGGUACUUUUUCUUAU